rnacentral:lncRNA from 1 species
GUGAUUUUGUCGUCGAUCUUCAUUUUGUUCAGCUCUUUUUUUUAGCUUGGCUCGGAUCAAAAGUGCCACAAUCGAGCUACCCCAUUGAGAUCAUACGAAUCUCCCCUACUAUUGGUUGGUCUUUGUGGGGGUCUUCUUGCUGAGAAGGCUCACCGCAUGGGUUUCUUGGGAUCCACCUUUCAUCAAUGUAGCGCUGAAGAUGCCCAUGUCGGAUGAGCACCUCUAUCUCCUCCCUGAGCUACCAAUAUUCCUCCAUGUCAUGUCUGUGAUCACGAUGAUAUCUAUAGUACUUUUUUGGAUUUCUUGCUCGUACUGGAGCGACCAUCCUCUUCGAUCAAGAGAGCUCUUCUUGCCACUCUAUCUCCAUCAGUAUCUGAGCUCGAAAAGUAUUGAGCAGUGUGAAGUAAUGAAACCUUCGUAGAGGAGUCCUAGAUUGAUGAGAUGCUACAGAGGAUCUAAGUCGCUUGCCCCGAGGUGGGGUCCAAGAGCGAUAAGGCCUUGGUUCCACAUGUCAAUGCUGCACUCACCAAUAGUCCUUUUUCUCUUGCCCAGCAUUCGACUAUGAUCUAGUGUCGAGGUUCUCCCCUUGUCGGUCCUAGGCUUCCUCAGCUUAAGCAUAUCUCUCCACCCGUUCUAGCAUU